UAGAUCAUGAACUAGUGUAUCUAAAUAAAGAAUCAUAUCAAAAAGAUUGUAAAAAUUUUUUAAGUUUAAAUUUAAAUGGUGGAGUCUCACUUGGCAAAACAUAUAAUUAUGUUGGCUUUCAAUUCAAGUUUUCAUUUGAGUCAUCUGAAAAAAUUAAACCGAUGAACGCUUAUGAAUAUGUAAAGCAGAAGGAUAACUGUCGGGCUAUGAAAGGAGAAUUCGACUAUACAACAUACGUAUUAAGAAUAAUAACUAUGAGUGAUUGUAUGCCAUUACCUAAAUCGUUGUGGUGGAAAGAACUAAAAGUAGUGAAAAAAUUAAAGAUUGAUUGAAGUAUUAAAGAUGUUUAGAAGUAUAAGCAAAUACUUGUUAAUGACAGAAUAAAAGAAGAUUCAUAACAUUUAUUUUAUAACCGAAUAACAAGAAAAUAUAUAUCGUGUUAAAAAUUAAAAGUUUAAUCUUGUUAUUAAAAUUAUUCAACAUAUUAUUUAUUUAAAAUUCAUGCUUAUGGAAUUUAAUAAAUAUAAUAAAAUACAAAAUAUUUUAAUA